GAUGAAGAACGCAGCGAAAUGCUAUAAGUAAUGCGAAUUGCAGAAUUCCAGUGAGUCAUCGAAUCUUUGAACGCACAUUGCGCCCUUUGGUAUUCCGAAGGGCAUGCCUGUUCGAGCGUCAUUAUCACCCCUCAAGCCCUCGGCUUGGUGUUGGACGGUUUGGUGGAGGCCCCCUCGGGGGUUCCUGCCCCUCCCAAAGACAAUGACGGCGGCCUCGUUGGACCCCCGGUACACUGAGUUCUUCACGGGACACGUAUCGGACACAUGGGUUUACGGGACACGGUCUGCCUCCCCUCAGGGAGAAUCUUUCUAAGGUUGACCUCGGAUCAGGUAGGGAUACCCGCUGAACUUAAGCAUAUCAAUAAGCGGAGGA
rnacentral:misc_RNA from 1 species